rnacentral:rRNA from 1 species
GCACUUCGGGAUAAGCCUGGGAAACUGGGUCUAAUACCGAAUAGGACCAUUUAGCGCAUGCUUUAUGGUGGAAAGCUUUUGCGGUGUGGGAUGGGCCCGCGGCCUAUCAGCUUGUUGGUGGGGUGACGGCCUACCAAGGCGACGACGGGUAGCCGGCCUGAGAGGGUGUCCGGCCACACUGGGACUGAGAUACGGCCCAGACUCCUACGGGAGGCAGCAGUGGGGAAUAUUGCACAAUGGGCGCAAGCCUGAUGCAGCGACGCCGCGUGGGGGAUGACGGCCUUCGGGUUGUAAACCUCUUUCAGCAGGGACGAAGCGCAAGUGACGGUACCUGCAGAAGAAGCACCGGCCAACUACGUGCCAGCAGCCGCGGUAAUACGUAGGGUGCGAGCGUUGUCCGGAAUUACUGGGCGUAAAGAGCUCGUAGGUGGUUUGUAGCGUUGUUCGUGAAAUCUAACGGCUUAACUGUGAGCGUGCGGGCGAUACGGGCAGACUGGAGUACUGCAGGGGAGACUGGAAUUCCUGGUGUAGCGGUGGAAUGCGCAGAUAUCAGGAGGAACACCGGUGGCGAAGGCGGGUCUCUGGGCAGUAACUGACGCUGAGGAGCGAAAGCGUGGGGAGCGAACAGGAUUAGAUACCCUGGUAGUCCACGCCGUAAACGGUGGCUACUAGGUGUGGGUUUCCUU